rnacentral:rRNA from 1 species
UACGGGGGGGGCAAGCGUUGUUCGGAAUUACUGGGCGUAAAGGGCUCGUAGGCGGCCAACUAAGUCAGACGUGAAAUCCCUCGGCUUAACCGGGGAACUGCAUCUGAUACUGGAUGGCUUGAGUUCGGGAGAGGGAUGCGGAAUUCCAGGUGUAGCGGUGAAAUGCGUAGAUAUCUGGAGGAACACCGGUGGCGAAGGCGGCAUCCUGGACCGACACUGCCGCUGAGGAGCGAAAGCCAGGGGAGCAAACGGG